AUUGAACGCUGGCGGCAUGCUUUACACAUGCAAGUCGAACGGUAACAGGCCUUCGGGUGCUGACGAGUGGCGAACGGGUGAGUAAUACAUCGGAACGCACCCAGAGGUGGGGGAUAACGCAGCGAAAGCUGUGCUAAUACCGCAUGUGAUCUGAGGAUGAAAGCGGGGGACCGAGCAGCAAUGUUUGGCCUCGCGCCUUUGGAGCGGCCGAUGUCGGAUUAGCUAGUUGGUGGGGUAAAGGCCUACCAAGGCGACGAUCCGUAGCUGGUCUGAGAGGACGACCAGCCACACUGGGACUGAGACACGGCCCAGACUCCUACGGGAGGCAGCAGUGGGGAAUUUUGGACAAUGGGCGCAAACCUGAUCCAGCAAUGCCGCGUGCGGGAAGAAGGCCUUCGGGUUGUAAACCGCUUUUGGCAGGAACGAAACGGUGUCCGCUAAUACCGGGCGCUAAUGACGGUACCUGCAGAAUAAGCACCGGCUAACUACGUG
rnacentral:rRNA from 1 species